CUUCUCCCCUUCUUUCCUGUGCGAACAGGCAUCUUCCUGGAGACAGGAAGGUAGGCACUGUGGAAUCAGCGGUGCGUAGAACAGUGAGGAUUUGGGGCUGAACCCAGCCCAGGUGGGCCAAGCCGUGGCACCAGCCGGACUGCAGUCUGAUGGAACUUCCCCUUCCUGCCCAGCAGAUGGCGAGCGUGUGCUGCUGGUGCCUCUUUCCAAAGGACGUUGAAUUGCUUGACAGGUGUUCUUUACUUUAUGAAUGAAGCCAGAGCAGCCCACCUUCCUGCAUCUCUACCACCAUGGCACCAUGCCCUGUGAUGGGUGGGCUGGAGUCAAAUAUGUAGCAGGCAGCCAGGGUCAGUUUGUGGCCACUGCUGCCCCCUCUUCCUACAGUCUCCUCACUGAGUGCCCCUUCCCUGUUGGGUUCAACACAUCUGUGCUCCUGUAAGCCCUCAGCCUCCUCGUUCUCUUCCUCAACUUCUACCACCAGACACAUCUGAGAAGCAAGCAAGAGAGGCUGAACUAGGAGCAGGACCCAGGGACUGAAACCAGCACAGCAUCCCCACAGAGAAUUGGGUGGAAGGCAGCAUGGCUUCCAGCUUACUGGUGCUGAGCAGAUUGCUCUGGGUCUCCAUUGUAUCCUCUGAAGGAAGGAGGAGGAUUGCCUUCUGUCCAGAUCUCAGGAUCAAACAAAUAGGUCCAAUUUCCUGUGCUCACUUCAGUUAGAGCACUUCUCAUGUGACUUUGUAGCUUUGUGUGCAUCUCCUUCCUCUACUAGACCUAAGCCCCUCACGGGAGGGACUCUCUUAUUCUUGAUGUUCCCCACACCUGGAAUUUCAAUAAACAUCUCAAUAAACGUGUGUGUUUGGAUCCUUGGAUCCCAUGACUGCCGUCAUAACCUUGGUGAAGAAGAGGGCUGGGAGUAGGAAAGAGGUCAAGGUUCGCUUGAUCUCUAACCCUAUAGUGGGAAAUUGUGACGGAGAAUAUUCAAGAGUGGGUGUGGGUCUGUUUGAUUUCAGGUGUAGCUGUGUAAAUAGUUAGCCCUGCAUAUAUUUUUGUCUACUCACAACUGCCUGCAUGUGUAUUCAUAGAGUUGUGUGAUUCUGUGUAUGUGCCUGGGGAGUGGGAGAGGGCCAUGUGCACAUGUCUGAAUACUUGUUUUCAAAUAUACAUGCAUGUUUCCAUUUGGGUUUCUCUCCAUUUGUGUUGUUUGCCUGCCUCUUCUGUAAGUCUCUGAAAG
rnacentral:lncRNA from 1 species